ACGGCACGCCUCACUUUCCACCACACUGCACCGCCGAGCGGAUCGCUUUACAAUACCACUCACACCCACCCAGAAGACUUGAAGAGCAAAAGGGCUCGGAUUGAGGUCAGCGGCUGGUGGCUUUUAUCAUUCAGCAUUCGCCAUGUAAUGACUUUGGUCAACAGAACUCAUCAAGGAUAUGUCAGCUUACCCGUGAACCACCACACCCACACCAAAACGCUCAUCACCCACCCAGUGUCCUUCGACCUCGGGAGGGGUGCCUGGGAGGUUGCUUGCGGUUGGAGCUCAGCGAGCAUACAAAGCACUUAACUCGUUAGCGGUUAACGGCAUAUUGCCACGAUGCUGUGAAGAACCAAAAACAACGAUCUAGAUAAAGGGAAAAACUUGCCAGCCAAUAGCACACAUGACUCAACACACAAAAUACUUGGCCAAAAAAUGCUACAGCCCAGACCAGGACUCGGGACGCAGGACCCAGGAGCCGGACGAGGACAAGGACGAGUACCAGGACCAGGACCAAGAGCAGGCAUCCCCGGAAUAAAAAUAACAAAUAUCCACAGUUAAUUGAAAUUCCUUAACUUUCUCAAUUAAACUUUCGUGCAAUGCUCUCAA